rnacentral:rRNA from 1 species
UGCAUGGGCGCAGCCUGAUGCAGCCAUGCCGCGUGUGUGAAGAAGGCCUUCGGGUUGUAAAGCACUUUCAGCGAGGAGGAAGGGUUUAAGGCUAAUACGUGUCGUGUGUGACGUUACUCGCAGAAGAAGCACCGGCUAACUCCGUGCCAGCAGCCGCGGUAAUACG